AACGAACGCUGGCGGCACGCCUAACACAUGCAAGUCGAACGGGAUCCUAGCUUGCUAGGUGAGAGUGGCGGACGGGUGAGUAACACGUGGGAAUCUGCCUUCUGGUUCGGGAUAACCGCGGGAAACUGCGGCUAAUACCGAAUGCCCUCGCGAGAGGAAAGAUUUAUCGCCAGAAGAGGAGCCCGCGUCCGAUUAGGUAGUUGGUGGGGUAAAGGCCUACCAAGCCGACGAUCGGUAGCUGGUCUGAGAGGAUGAUCAGCCACACUGGGACUGAGAUACGGCCCAGACUCCUACGGGAGGCAGCAGUGGGGAAUAUUGGACAAUGGGGCAACCCUGAUCCAGCAAUGCCGCGUGAGUGAUGAAGGCC
rnacentral:rRNA from 1 species